rnacentral:rRNA from 1 species
UACGUAGGGGGCAAGCGUUGUCCGGAAUUAUUGGGCGUAAAGCGCACGUAGGCGGAUUGUUAAGUCAGGGGUGAAAUCCCGGGGCUCAACCCCGGAACUGCCUUUGAUACUGAUAGUCUCGAGUCCGGAAGAGGUGAGUGGAAUUCCGAGUGUAGAGGUGAAAUUCGUAGAUAUUCGGAGGAACACCAGUGGCGAAGGCGGCUCACUGGUCCGGUACUGACGCUGAGGUGCGAAAGCGUGGGGAGCAAACAGG